ensembl:lncRNA
CACGUAGCUCGCUCUUUCCUGAAACUGGCCCCCAAGACCCUCUCCGGUUCCGGAAGCCGGUUUGCUGGAAACGGUUCGGCCCGCGAGGAAAUUUGUGGUGAAGCUGGAACCCUUCACUUGGAAUAUUCAGCCUAAGAACCCCGUGGGACUAUGAAUUCACCCCAAAUUUUAAUUUGCCAUCCAGCCAAGGUUUUAAAGAAAAACUGCUCCCUAAUGAAGAUUGUAAUGAAAAUAUGCAGAGAUAGGACCCUUGUUUAUGAAUUUCCAAGCCCAAAUUUCUUAUACUGCAUCAUGCAUCUCCUCAAUGUUCGGCACUAAUGAGGUAAGACAUCAUCUAAAAUUAGGCAGUCAGUCCCCCAUGGCAUUUGACGUGGGGGCUGUGAUUUCUGGAGAGUCAAG